AUUGAACGCUGGCGGCAUGCCUUACACAUGCAAGUCGAACGGCAGCACGGGAGCAAUCCUGGUGGCGAGUGGCGAACGGGUGAGUAAUAUAUCGGAACGUGCCCCGUCGUGGGGGAGUACGCAGCGAAAUCUGUUCUAAUACCGCAUACGAUCUAAGAAUGAAAGCGGGGGACCGCAAGACCCGGCGCGAUUGGAGCGGCCGAUAUCAGAUUAGGUAGUUGGUGGGGUAAAGGCUCACCGAGCCGACGACCUGUAGCUGGUCUGAGAGGACGACCAGCCACACUGGGACUGAGACACGGCCCAGCCUCCUACGGGAGGCAGCAGUGGGGAAUUUUGGACAAUGGGCGAAAGCCUGAUCCAGCCAUGCCGCGUGCAGGAUGAAGGCCUUCGGGUUGUAAACUGCUUUUGUACGGAACGAAAAGGUUUGGCCUAAUAAGCUGAGCUCAUGACGGUACCGUAAGAAUAAGCACCGGCUAACUACGUGCCAGCCGCCGCGGUAA
rnacentral:rRNA from 1 species